CCUUUCCUCCCUCCGCUGGAACGGCAGACUCGGUCGGUCCGAGUCUCCGCCGCCCGGAUCACAUCUUCCACCGGGACUCCAAAGUGCUGAAACCAGCGCCGCUCACAUGAUAUGAAGUCUUAAUCCAGAUGUGGACGUAACGUGGAGAUCUUACUGGACAGAUGUUGGAUCGAUUCCCUUGUCCUCUUCGGACGCUUUUGGUGCGCAAACACAAGUAGGUCAGCGGACCUGCAGGAGGACUGAGCGUUUCUUUCUUGGGGGUGUGGAGGAGGGGGAGUGGGGGGCUGGAGGCGACGUUGUUGAAAGUUUUCAAGUGUUCGGUUCCAUCGCGAGCGGAGGAACCGCAGGAAGACCGGAGAAACAGCGAGGGGAGGAUCGGACCUGAGGGCAGCUGCAGGGACUCCCCGCAGACCUCCAUGCCUCCCAGGUUUCUACUUACUGUGACAUCAUCGCAACAUGCCUGAGGGGUCACGGCGAGGACGCCAGAGAUUGCCGAGCAACACAGGUAAAGGGGGCGGAGCUAGGUCGGCUUUAGUGGCCUUCUUCAGCCUCGUUGAAAGGGACGAGGAAAGUUAAAGGGCCGAUUAAAGGAGAGAACACAGUGACUCUCUGAACAGUGAGUGGAGGACAGAACCGACCAAUCAGCAGCUGGUAAAGGACAGAGGU
ensembl:lncRNA